GUCGUCAGCUCGUGUCGUGAGAUGUUAGGUUAAGUCCUGCAACGAGCGCAACCCCUACUUUUAGUUGCUAACAUUAAGUUGAGCACUCUAAAGGGACUGCUAAGGUUAACUUAGAGGAAGGUGGGGAUGACGUCAAAUCAUCAUGCCCUUUAUGCCUUGGGCAACACACGUGCUACAAUGGUCGGUACAAAGAGAAGCAAUACCGCGAGGAGGAGCAAAUCUUAAAAACCGAUCCCAGUUCGGAUUGCAGGCUGCAACUCGCCUGCAUGAAGCCGGAGUUGCUAGUAAUCGUGAAUCAGCAUGUCGCGGUGAAUACGUUCCCGGGA
rnacentral:rRNA from 2 species